GUCGACACUCGACAGUGCCACUCGGCGCGCAGCCACUGGCCACCUUCCGCAGCGAGACCAUCCCCCACCUCCCUCCCCCAGCUCCAGCAAGCAAGCAAGCUCCUCACCAGGCACACGCAGGCAGCUACUGUCAAAACGAAGCAGACCGCCUACUUAUUCCCAUCUCUGUCUCGGCCAAAAGAGGCAACCAAGCCGCCGCCCCAAACGCACCCACCGGCCGUCACCCCAGAGACCAUGGCCAUGGAGGUGGACGAGGACGACGUCUGGGGCGCCGUCGCCACCAGCCCCAGCGUCUCCCCGCCGCCCGCCAUCUCCACCGCGCUCAGCCUCAACACCCGCCUCCAGCUCCUCGCCGCCUCCGGCGGCGCCGGCCCCUCGUUCCUCCCAGCCAUCGUCGGCCUCGCCUCCCCGUUCCACCCCGGCGGAGGCUGCUACCGCAAUGUGGCCGCGUCGCCGUCCCCCACACCCUUCUUCUCCGCCGCGGCGGCCACCGCCCCCUUCUCCCGCCUCGCGCCCCUCGACGCCCGCCGCGCGCUGGAGCGCGAGAUGUGCCUCGGCCCGCCCCCCGCCGGUGCGGCGGCCGGCACCAGCGGCGCGGGCCCCGUGGAGCGGCGCAAGAAGCGGAUGGUCAAGAACCGGGAGUCGGCGUCCCGGUCCCGCGCGCGCAAGCAGGCGCACGUCACCCAGAUCGAGACGGAGGUCGUGGAGCUGCGGGAGGCCAACGACCAGCUCCGCGCCAAGUACGACCAGCUCAAGGCGGCGGUGGAGGUGUCGGUGCCGGUGAAGAAGACCCUCAAGAGGGUGCUCUCCGCGCCAUUCUGAUCGACUCCUCAACACCCAAGCAGCAGCAACUCCAAUCCAGCUAUCACUACCACUGCUACCACUCACAUAGUUGCAGCACCAGCUACUAGCUAGCCUAUCAUCAACAUCGUCCAUGUAAAUCCAUAUGCUACGUGUUCAUCAGGCAUAAAAGUACAGCACACACACGCAGAACACCGUCGAAAGACCUGGAAGGAACAGGUGUCCAGGAACAUUUGCAAACGAG